ACGAACGCUGGCGGCGUGCUUCACACAUGCAGGUCGAACGGAAAGGCCCCUUUGGGGGUACUCGAGUGGCGAACGGGUGAGUAACACGUGAGUAACCUGCCCUUGACUUCGGGAUAACUUCAGGAAACUGGGGCUAAUACCGGAUAGGAAUCCUUGCUGCAUGGUGGGGGUUGGAAAGCUUCGGCGGUUUUGGAUGGACUCGCGGCUUAUCAGCUUGUUGGUGGGGUAGUGGCUUACCAAGGCUUUGACGGGUAGCCGGCCUGAGAGGGCGACCGGCCACAUUGGGACUGAGAUACGGCCCAGACUCCUACGGGAGGCAGCAGUGGGGAAUAUUGCACAAUGGGCGGAAGCCUGAUGCAGCAACGCCGCGUGCGGGAUGACGGCCUUCGGGUUGUAAACCGCUUUCAGCAGGGGCGAAGCUUGUGGUGACGGUACCUGCAGAAGAAGCACCGGCUAACUACGUG
rnacentral:rRNA from 1 species